CAGCAGCCGCGGUAAAACGUAGGUGGCAAGCGUUGUCCGGAAUUAUUGGGCGUAAAGCGCGCGCAGGCGGAUAGGUCAGUCUGUCUUAAAAGUUCGGGGCUUAACCCCGUGAUGGGAUGGAAACUGCCAAUCUAGAGUAUCGGAGAGGAAAGUGGAAUUCCUAGUGUAGCGGUGAAAUGCGUAGAUAUUAGGAAGAACACCAGUGGCGAAGGCGACUUUCUGGACGAAAACUGACGCUGAGGCGCGAAAGCCAGGGGAGCGAACGGGAUUAGAUACCCGUGUAGUCCCUGUCUCUUAUACC
rnacentral:rRNA from 1 species